rnacentral:tRNA from 1 species
AGGAUAAUAGUUUAAUUAAAAACAUUUAAUUUGCAUUUAAAAAUUAUUGACACCAAUUUAUCUA